UCCCCACACAUUGACACAAUUUGCUAGUUUUCAGGGUAGGUGGAUCCUGCGCUUAGUCAUCCUGCCAUUUUUAAAGACGUAUGAAGAAUUACCCGGGCUGUAGAGCCAGGAGUGAGAAAGAUAAAUAACACCAAGGAGCUGAUCGCUGCCCGUCUGUCAUAAAAUUUCAUUAGUUCUGACAGCUUGUACAACAUAAGCAAUGAAUGAAUGCUAACUACACUUCCUCUCCGUCUGCUUCCAUAUUUCACUCGUAUUGCUUAGCUCGGAGAAAGAGCUGGCCAAACAAACCCUGAGGAUGGAGGGAGCUGCUGGACCGCUCAUGGGAUCAGGAUGCUCCUUGGAGCAGGACCACUGCGGGGGCUAGGUUAUUGGAGAGCCUUUCCCAAGAGCAUUUUUCCGUGGGCGCAGCUGGGAGGGACAGGCGUGGAUCUGCGCGGGUGUCCAAGAGGAUGGCGUUCCCUACAGUGCUGCUGAGAGUGAGGGGGCUGAGACGACUUCAUCUCUUCAAAGGCAGCUCUUUUGCUGGAGCAACACUUUCUUCAGUAGGAAAACAGUGGGAAAAUAAAGUCAGAAAGAGGGUAAUCGGGAUCCCCACCAUACCAGGCUUCAUGGUGCUGUGUUUCUGUCUCCUCGAUCCAUGCAAGAGCAGCUAUUCUGAAGCCCUGACCUGUGUCACCCAUGUUUCAGCUGGGAACUCCCAAUGUUGACCUCAAGACUUUGCUGAAAUAUCCAUCAGCCCCCGCUCUGGGCUAUCAGGACUGCUCAUUUUUGGGUGCGUAGGCAGCUGGGACAAGUUAGGGUUCUCCCACCUACAGCCAUACCCUAGAGCCACUGCUGCCCUUUUCAUCUUUAAGUCCUAGGUAAUGAAAAUAAAUAUCUCGAGGUCUAUAAUAAUGACAUGGAAUGGGAUGUUUUGAUCAUAUUAAUUGCUCAGGCUGUUGCAAUACAGGAUCACAAAUCAAUGUUUCCCCGGUGGCUGGCUCAGCCUCCCUGUGCACGUUUAAACAGAUGUGACCUUGAUGAGGAGAGAUACUGGGGGCUCGAGGCAAGCUUGCAAGACAGAUGAAUGUUCUCUGGCAGAUUUAUGACGAGUUAUUCCUCGGUGUAGAAAAGUCCAUCUUCUUUCACCUAAAUGCUCCCCCAAAAGUGACUUUUCCUGUGUACAAAACACGAGCAGUUUGCAAAGCUAGUGACAAUGUCAGGAGGUCUUUUAGGAAAAAUGUUUCCGUAGGGCUAGAGCACAGGGGCAGCAAAGUGAGAACAGAGGUGUGAUUCAUUCAGAACAAGGUGUCCUCGUUCAUUUAUAGCUCUCCACGUAAAGGAUAUCCUGCUCGGACAACGUGGGCACUUUCUUUUAAUCUGUCCUCGCAUCACAAGAGAUCUUGGGUUUCUUCCUGUGCCACUGAGACUCUUUCAUUUGGUGUCACCUUCCGUCGUGCCAAGAAAUCCCACAGCAGCCGGUGGGCUUGAAAGGGGUGUCUGUAAACACGUGUUUACUGAAACUGCUGGUAAACCAGCCUCUGAGUCAUCCCCUCCUCAGGCUGUAUGUUUCAAUUCUUCCUCGUCUCAGGCAGUAGCAUCAAGCUCUUGCUAGUUCCUGACAAAAUUAGGGAUUACAUGCUCAAACAGCGUGUGUAUACGUCAGGGAGGGCAAGAUGGAGAUAGGAGGUCUGCUUGGGGCGUAGAAGAAAAUGCUUUGCCUCUUUAACCUUCUGAAAAGAAACAGCUGAAGUAACUUAGUAAAUACUAGUAACAGGCCUCAGGAUGAUAGGCUUGUUAGCAUAUUUAAAACCUUUAAUUAGCAUCAGUGCUGCUUGGGACCUAUCUGGCCCAAAGGUCUAGAGAGAGCCUUGUUGACUUAGGAAGGGCCAGGUGCUGAACAGGACACGUUCUGCUGCAUCCACCCUGCAGUCCCUGACCCUGGCAGCCUCCUACAGCUGCAUCUCAUGGUGCCAGAGCCCGUCUUCUGGAUUCAAACCUGGGAUGCCUUUGCCUCUAGGACUUGUCUGAACUUGUUCCUGUUUGAACCACAGCAUGGAAAAGCAUCCCAUCCUGACCUCAAAACUUCCAGCAAUGGAAAAACCUACCAUAACUUUUGCAGCUACCAGAAUUUUUACACUUCUUGUGUAUACCACACAGCAAAUGUGACCAGAAGGAAUCUGACGCAACCAACCCUUCCUUCGCAAUAAACACGGGAUCCAAAACAAACCUUUGGUGCUCCCAGCGUCGCUGCCCAAGGAACCAGGCAUCCUGCAAAUAAACACGGAAUUGCAAA